GACGGAGGAUGCAAGUGUUAUCCGGAAUUACUGGGCGUAAAGCGUGCGCAGGCGGUUGUGCAAGACAGAUGUGAAAAUCCCCGGGCUUAACCUGGGAAUUGCAUUUGUGACUGCACGGCUAGAGUGUGUCAGAGGGGGGUAGAAUUCCACGUGUGAGCAGUGAAAUGCGUAGAUAUGUGGAGGAAUACCGAUGGCGAAGGCAGCCCCCUGGGAUAACACUGACGCUCAUGCACGAAAGCGUGGGGAGCAAACAG
rnacentral:rRNA from 1 species